CUUCAGGCUUUUCGCUGUAAACACUGUCUUGUCAGAGAAAAUGCUGUGUUUACAUUACAGCCUGGAAUAACUCCACUGGUCACUCCUCAGAUGGCUGUUAGAGGUGCUUCCUUGGGCAGUGCUGCAGAUUAAGCAGCACUGCCAUUCAGUGUCUCCACCCUAUGCAUGCAGACACUGAACGUUGCUCAUAGAGAUGCAUUGAUUCCAUUUAUCUCUAAUAGGAGAUGCUGAUUGGCCAAGGCUGUGUUUGACUUGUGCUGGCCCUUGAUCUUCUUCCUUGAAAGUCUCAGCCAAUCCAAUGGGAAAGCAUUGUGAUUGGCUCACAGAAUCACUUCUGAUGAAGUCAGCAUGCAGGCACAUCAGAGGCAGAGGCAGCAG